AUGCGCGCACCGGGGCGGUGGAGACUCAGUGCCGGCGGCGUCCUCGUCCCCCCGCUGCCCGAUCACGCACCCCGACUACUUCCACACCGAGAUCGAGCGUGCGCGGCGUCUCUGUCGGAGGAGCAGCGGGCCCUCCCGGAGUACGACGCCGGUAAAAACGAGGCGUGGGCGGCGUACUUCAAACGUCGGCAGGCGGAGCGGUUGGCGUCAACCAACAACGCUCCGGUGGUGCGGGGGAGCAAAAACGGCAACGGCCGCCGCCGGUGGUGGGGCUCUCCCGGGCGCACGCUCCAUGCCGUCCUCGAGUACCUCGAGGGCGGCAACGAUCCGCCGCUGACGUACCCGGCCGCCCUGGUCCCCCGCCGGAGUGGCGGCCAAUGGAUGCCGAGGAGGACCGGCUCCUCCUCCUCCUCCUCCUCCUCCCAAUCCUCCUCGCACUCCUCCGGGUCGUCGGCGCUCUUCAGCGUCAAGGCCGAGCCCGCGGAAACGCCGCUCGGCCGGCGCACCUGCAGCGUCGGCAUUGUCAUCAACGAGGGUGGGCAUGCCUCCUCGUCCGCUCCUCCUCGUCUCGUUAAGACGAAGAUGGAGCCGGGGCUCACCCUCGUGAAGACAGAGCCGGGGUCGCCGACGUGA
rnacentral:rRNA from 1 species